UCACACAGGGAAACUUAGAGUUUGAUCAUGGCUCAGGACGAACGCUGGCGGCGUGCCUAAUACAUGCAAGUGGAGCGACGAACCAGGCUUCGGCCUGGGGCAAAGCCGCGAACGGGUGAGUAACACGUGGGUAACCUGCCCCGAUGACCGGGACAACUCGAGGAAACUCGGGCUAAUACCGGAUGUGCUCCCCUCACAUCAGUGAGGUGAGUAAAGGUAGCUUCGGCCUCCGCAUCGGGAUGGGCCCGCGGCCCAUUAGCUUGUUGGUGAGGUAACGGCUCACCAAGGCCGCGAUGGGUAGCUGGUCUGAGAGGACGAUCAGCCGCCC
rnacentral:rRNA from 1 species